GGUGAAAAGCACCCCGGAAGGGGAGUGAAAUAGAACCUGAAACCGUGUGCUUACAAGUAGUCAGAGCCCGUUAAUGGGUGAUGGCGUGCCUUUUGUAGAAUGAACCGGCGAGUUACGAUUUGAUGCAAGGUUAAGCAGUAAAUGUGGAGCCGUAGCGAAAGCGAGUCUGAAUAGGGCGUUUAGUAUUUGGUCGUAGACCCGAAACCAGGUGAUCUACCCUUGGUCAGGUUGAAGUUCAGGUAACACUGAAUGGAGGACCGAACCGACUUACGUUGAAAAGUGAGCGGAUGAACUGAGGGUAGCGGAGAAAUUCCAAUCGAACCUGGAGAUAGCUGGUUCUCUCCGAAAUAGCUUUAGGGCUAGCCUCAAGUGAUGAUUAUUGGAGGUAGAGCACUGUUUGGACGAGGGGCCCCUCUCGGGUUACCGAAUUCAGACAAACUCCGAAUGCCAAUUAAUUUAACUUGGGAGUCAGAACAUGGGUGAUAAGGUCCGUGUUCGAAAGGGAAACAGCCCAGACCACCAGCUAAGGUCCCAAAAUAUAUGUUAAGUGGAAAAGGAUGUGGCGUUGCCCAGACAACUAGGAUGUUGGCUUAGAAGCAGCCAUCAUUUAAAGAGUGCGUAAUAGCUCACUAGUCGAGUGACACUGCGCCGAAAAUGUACCGGGGCUAAACAUAUUACCGAAGCUGUGGAUUGUCCUUUGGACAAUGGUA
rnacentral:rRNA from 1 species